rnacentral:rRNA from 1 species
CAGCAGCCACGGUAAUACGUAGGUGGCAAGCGUUGUCCGGAAUUAUUGGGCGUAAAGGGCUCGCAGGCGGUUUCUUAAGUCUGAUGUGAAAGCCCCCGGCUCAACCGGGGAGGGUCAUUGGAAACUGGGAAACUUGAGUGCAGAAGAGGAGAGUGGAGUUCCACGUGUGGCGGUGAAAUGCGUAGAGAUGUGGAGGAACACCAGUGGCGAAGGCGACUCUCUGGUCUGUAACUGACGCUGAGGAGCGAAAGCGUGGGGAGCGAACAGGAUUAGAUACCCGCGUAGUCCCUGUCUCUUAUAU